rnacentral:lncRNA from 1 species
CCACCCCCGCCGCCGCCGCCGCCGCCGCCGCCGCCGCCGCCGCCGCCCCUCCGCCUGCCUCGGGGCUGCCGGUGCCGGGCGGCGCCGAAGCCGCCCCGAGUCCGCGGCUCCGGAUUUUCCCAAGAGCACGAGGAAGAGCCUGGCCCGUGCGGGGGAUGCUGUCAGUGGCCGCGUUCUUCGUCUUCUUCAGGCAGUUGAGAAAAGCCAUUGCCAGAACUGACAUCUGACUGUUGUUUGCACUGACAUGCUGCUUGGACUUUCAGCCUUCAAAACUGCAGACAUGGCGGAUCUAUAUCUGGAGCUGAAGGCAGUAAGAAGAGAGAGAGACACUGGACCUGGCUUUAGCUUCGGAAACCUCAAAGCCCAUGCCCUGCGACACACUUCCUCCUACAAGGCCACUCCCUAUGACCUAUGGGGGCUGUUUUCAUUCAAACCAUCACACUGGGUAUGGUGUUAUUCAUUGAAACAUGGGUUUCUUACGAAAGCUCACACCACUGAAGAAAAGUGAUCCCUUCUCUCAUAGCAGCCCUUACCAGCUGCUAAUGGUUUCUCAACGAAGGGUAGAGCCUUAUGAGCCCUUCCCCCAUCUUUGCUGAAACGUCCGUGGGCUCCAUCUUGUACAGGUCUUGUGCAGGUAACCACAACUGCUGUGAGUUCACAAGUGCUAUGGUGUGUCGUGUCUAGAAAACAGCACCUCUCUGUAUCCUUCAGCUCUUGCCCCACAUACACUCUUCUGCAAUUUUCCUUGAGUCUUGGAAUGGGAUAGAAGGGUACUAAAGAUGUCUCAUUUAGGAUUGAACACUCAAUAGUUUCUUAACACUUUGGCCAGUUAAGUAUCUCUACACUAACCCCUGCCCACAGCAAAAUGAAGCCUUUCUGACCAGUCUGAAUAGCACCAAAGAUCUAUGGGUAUAAACAAAUAUUUAGAAAACUGUUUCACAUGUCCAUUUGCAAAACAAUCAGGGACCUAUUACCUUCCUUGUCGUGGGAUUUUGAUAAGACUUACAGCAAUAAGCAUGGAUUUCCUCCUACGGAGCAGGCAUCAAUUCUAUCAAAAAGUGGUUGGCUACCUUCAUGACUAGUAUGCCACUAUUGCCCCAUGGGCACGCUUGCCUGGAAAGUCAGUAUUGCAGCACACUCCCCCAGCAGCUUGCACAGCACCUCAGUACUAUGAACAGCCAGAAGGGAGGAAGCUUCCAGUUCAAUUCCAACUUGAUUUCUGCAUGUGCUAUAACCCAAGUGUGUGGUGUCUUCAUCUUACCAUGCAUUUCUGGUGGGAAUCAAGAACAGUGGUAAUAACUUGUAUUGUUUGAGGCCUCUCUGACCAACUCAUAAAGAAGUAUCUAAUUCUUGUCAUUAGAUUUUCAUUUAAUAAUAUAUGGCUUUUUGAAAACAGCAUUAUCCACCCAUGCAGGCUAGUGCCAUGCAAAUGCUCUUGUUUAGAUUAUAAUUUUAAAUUCAUUUAUGAAGCAAUAAAUUUCCAUAUGGCUUUUUAAUAAACCUUUCUUUUUUAAUUUUGGAUAAUACUUCCUCUACUCUCUCCUUCAACAUUCUAUACCACUGCUUAAAACCUUUCUAUUCCCAGUACACCCCCCCCUCCACUUUCAAAUCACGUGGUGUUCUACGGUCCUUUACUCCACCAGGCCUCUCCCCUCUUCCUCUCAUGGGCUCUUUACUGACAGCUUUUAAAAGCUCAUCCUAUUAAGUACUGUUUUUCAGACCCAUUCAUAUUCUUAUUUAACUUGUCUAAUCUUGCAUUUAAGAUCUUAGAGAUCUCAUGUCUUAUGAAGUUUAGCUCAACUUCUAAAUUUAUUUAGGCUGUUGAGUUAGUUUUCAAGCCUAGAAAAUAAGAAGCUUUAUGUGGUAACUGUUGCUUGAGUUAAGUUUUGACUAUUAUAGGUUAACUAGAGACAUUUUAGUUCAAACUCAUUUUUAACCCUUACUAGUUCUGCAAUCUGUAUCCAUCCUUCCCUGACCCUAAUGAGCCAUAAAGGGCUUAUAUAUGUGUGCAUUCAUGAGUAUGAGUGUGUGUGUGUGUGUGUGUGUGUGUGUGUGUGUGUGUGUGUGUGUGUGUGUGUGUGUGUGUGUGUGUGUGGUGUGUGUGUGUGUGUGUGUGUGUGUGUGAGUGUGUGUGAGUGUGUGUGUGUGAGUGUGAGUGUGUGUGAGUGUGUGUGUGUGAGUGUGUGUGUGUGUGUGUGUGUGUGUGUGUGUGUGUGUGUGAAAACUAAGUGAGAGUGGGAAAAUCCAGUGCUUAUUAGAUGUAUGCUGUUCUAUUACUCUACAAUCAAAACAUGAGACAUCAAGUAGAGUCAUAGCAGAACUGUGAUCCAUAUGAAAACAUCAUUAUUUUUAUGGCCUUAACAGUUUCUUCUACUAACGUGUCAGCUUUUCUUUUUAUGGUGAUUGUUAUGUUUUCUGCCAAUAGAGAUUAAAAUCAUCUUGAGUUAAUAUAUAAAACCCCUUAUUCUGUAAACCACUUCCUCUUCUUAUUUCCUCUUUAACCAUACUCUCUACACAGUGAGUCAACACACUCUUUCUCUUUCCUCCCCCUUCCCUCUUCUGUUCUCCCUUCCUCCCCUUCCUCUUUCCCCUUUCUCUUUUUUCCAUCCCUAUUGCUUAUUCUCAAUAAUUCACUGUGCUGCACAGUUCAUUCCUUUACUAACCAGAAAUUCUUCUUCAUCUUUGACUCUGUGCUACCAUACUAAUUACUGCUAGGAUCUCAGUGCUUUAGUGCUAUGCUUGCUUCCCACAUAACGGCUUCUUAGGACAGGAAGGUGAGUUGCACUUCUGUGUUAUAGACAAUUUUCACAGCAGCAAUGGAUGAACUGAAUGGAGUAUCAGUGUGAGUCCUUCAGGUGAUAACAGCUACAAGACAUAGUUUCCAUUCUUUAUGAAAAAUCCAUUUGUUUUUAUGUAAAAAGAAACAUGCCCAAAACGUUGCUUUUUAGAACUGAUCAUCAUUGAAAGUGGUGUGCAUCCACAGAAAAUUUAGAAUCUGUAUUUAGGAUUUGCACUUCUAACAUGAUGUCACAGUAGGCUAAAUACCUCUGAGGGAAUCUUCCUUUAUAGGAUAUUUUUGAUAGGAUAUAUCAAGAGGGUUAUUGACUUUACAAAUCAAAAUAAUUCUCUAUGAAUAAUCUCUGAUAUUCCAAAACGGAGCUGCACAGCUUUGAGCAGGGCACUGUGCAUGUCCUGGUUAGGUUUCUAUUGCUGUGAUACACUCUGUGACCAAAAGCAACUUGGGUAGGGAAGGGUUUGUUUCACCUUGCAGACUUGCCUAUAGGCCAGUGUGAUGGAGGCAUUUUCCCAGUUGAGGUUUUUAAAUGAGCCUAGCUUGUGUCAAAAUUGUACAUGCUCAAAAACUUCUCUAAUAGUUUUUUAAUAUCAAAACAAGGAGGUAGAGUAUAGAGUAAAGAACAUAAAUAUAAACAUAGUAAUGUUAUUGUUGUUAUUCUUAGAUUAGGUGGAUUCUAUUGAUAUUUGUUUUAUUAUUUUCAUAACUUGCUAACAUUUUUUUCAUGUAUCUUUUGUAAGACAAAAAUACAAACCCAGGUACAGAUAUUGGGGUUCGAGCUUCAAGCUGAAGAUCAGAGAAGCAAAGCAGGAAGGCCACUAGCUCUUCCUCUACCUUGGGCUGAAAGGGCUGUCCUCAGCAUGGCUGGAGAAUAAAUCUCUCCACCAAGCCUCAGACUGCAAUCCCAGACUGCUGCCUUUAUCUUUUAUACCUCUCAAAUCCUGGGAUUAAAUGUGUGUGAUCCCACAUGCUAAGAUCACCUUUGUGAACUGUUUCUCUUUCAGACUUGAUCAAUUUCAUGUAACUCAGUGUGGCCUUGAACUAACAGAGAUGCAUCUGCUUGUCUCUUGAGUCCUGAGAUUAAAGGUGUGUUCUUGGCUCUAUGGUUAACUAGUGUGGCUGCUGGGGUUAAAGGUGUGUAUCACCAUUUCCUAGCUCUAUGACUUGUGGCUAGUUUUGCUUUCUGUACCUUCAGGCAAGCUUCAAUAAAUCAUAAAUAAUAUAUCACCACAAUCUUUGUUGUAUUAUUUCAACUUAUUUGUAUUUAAAUGAAAAUAUUCAAUUCAUUUUUAAGAUAAAAAACUUUAAUGAUAUUUGUAUGUGUAUCUGUAGGAAAGGUGUGUGUGUGAGAGAGUUUAGUUGCCUGCAGAGGCCAGAGGUAUUAGAGCUGGUAAUCCCUGGAGCUGGAUUACAGGUUUUUAUGAACUUCCUGUCCCAGGUGGGUGCUGGGUACUGAACUUUGUUCCUCUGUAAAAGCAAUAUGUACUCUUAACCACUGAUUGAUUCAUCUUUCCAGUCCCUUAAACUUACAUUUUCACAACUUACUAUUUUAAAUUUUAAAAUGUAAGAUUGAAUGACACAAUAACAUUCCUGCUCUAUCCACAAAGUUUAACAAUUAUUAACCCAUUGCCAAAUUAAAAAAAUUUCUAUGUGUAUCUACAUAUUCAUUUUUGCUGAAGUAAUUGAAAUCAUUUGAAAUCUAACUGCUAAAUACUUAUUAUCCUACUUGUAAGGACAGGAAUGUUCUUCUUUACCAUAAGGGAAUCAAUUCUCCCAAUAAAGUUAAUGAUUUCAUAGUUUAAAAUCCAAUCCAUUGUAAAAUUCAUAGGUAAAAUUAAAGAAAUACCAGUUGACUCAUGUGACACAUGGAUGAACUCUGAAAACAUCAUGCUGAGUGAAAGAAGUUAAACAUAAAAGGCCAUAUGGUGUGGUUCUAUUUAUAUGAAAUUUCUAGAGUAG